AACGAAGGAGGCGAGCGUUAUCCGGAUUUACUGGGUGUAAAGCGCGUGCAGGCGGUCGGUUAAGUUGGAUGUGAAAGCUCCUGGCUCAACUGGGAGAGGUCGUUCAAGACUGGCAGACUGGAGAGCAGUAGGGGAAGGUGGAAUUCCGGGUGUAGUGGUGAAAUGCGUAGAUAUCCGGAGGAACACCAGUGGCGAAAGCGGCCUUCUGGACUGCAUCUGACGCUCAGACGCGAAAGCUAGGGGAGCGAAUGGG
rnacentral:rRNA from 1 species